rnacentral:rRNA from 1 species
GACGAACGCUGGCGGCGUGCUUAACACAUGCAAGUCGAACGGAGUGGCGAACGGGUGAGUAUUACGUGAGUAACCUGCCCUCAACUGUGGGAUAAGCCUGGGAAACUGGGUCUAAUACUGCAUAGCUGGGGAUGGGCUCGCGGCGUAUCAGCUUGUUGGGGGGGUGAUUGCCUACGAAGGCGGUGACGGGUAGGCGGCCUGAGAGGGUGGUCGGACACAUGGGGACGGAGAUACGGCCCAGACGCGUACGAGAGGGAGAUGUGGGAGAGUUGGCGCAAGGCGGGCGAGCCUGAUGCAGGGGUGCGGAGUGGGGGAUGAAGGCUUUCGGUUUGUAAACCUCUGACGAAACAGAACGGGUAUGUGCAGAAGAAGCGCCGGCUAACUACGUGCCAGCAGCCGCGGUAAUAC